UUCCUGCUGUCGUGGAGAAGAAAAGUGGUAAUGACCGCUACUGUGCACUGGGCUCUCGCUCUGUGCUUUGCUUGUGUUUGCUCAGUUAAUCCUCCCAACAUGCCUCUAAGCCACCUAUGGGCAACAAGGUCUCCAAGGAAACUCCAGAACAUUCUGUGGGUUUCAGUGGUUACCUGCUGAGGCGGCAUUGGGCAUGGAGCAUCCGAGGGUCCAAGCUUUCCCCUGAGAGGCCUCACACUUGAACUUAGAGGAAGAGUGAGUGGCCCUGGAGCUGGGCCUUCCAGUAGGAGCAGGGUUUCUGCAGGGAAGCAGAGAGAGGAGCCCGGGAGAAGGCACACGGGUUCUUCUCAGCCACCGUCAACAACCCCAGCUGCUACCAAGAUGAGGAAACUGCCGCUCAGAGACGGCAGCCGACCCAGCCAAGGCCGCACAGCCAGGAUUCAAAGCCAUACCGCUCAGCUCCUGCCUCCAGGCUCUGCCUUUGCAUGUGGCUUCUCCUGGCUCCUGGACCCUUCCCCGGCCCUCCCAGCUGGCUGUGCUGUGACAGUGGGCGGGGGAGUGCCAAGGCUCUGCCCUGCCCCCCGCCCUUGGCAUCUCCGGUCAAUAUGGCACUCACAGCUCCCUGGGCAUGGACCCCCUCCUGCCAUCCCCACUUAAAGUGAUACUUUAAUAAAUUAUGCUUUUAUGUUA